GGUUAAGCGACUAAGCGUACACGGUGGAUGCCCUGGCAGUCAGAGGCGAUGAAGGACGUGCUAAUCUGCGAUAAGCGUCGGUGAGGUGAUAUGAACCGUUAUAACCGGCGAUUUCCGAAUGGGGAAACCCAGUGUGAUUCGUCACACUAUCAUUAACUGAAUCCAUAGGUUAAUGAGGCGAACCGGGGGAACUGAAACAUCUAAGUACCCCGAGGAAAAGAAAUCAACCGAGAUUCCCCCAGUAGCGGCGAGCGAACGGGGAGGAGCCCAGAGCCUGAAUCAGUGUGUGUGUUAGUGGAAGCGUCUGGAAAGGCGCGCGAUACAGGGUGACAGCCCCGUACACAAAAAUGCACAUACUGUGAGCUCGAUGAGUAGGGCGGGACACGUGGUAUCCUGUCUGAAUAUGGGGGGACCAUCCUCCAAGGCUAAAUACUCCUGACUGACCGAUAGUGAACCAGUACCGUGAGGGAAAGGCGAAAAGAA
rnacentral:rRNA from 1 species